GACGAACGCUGGCGGCGUGCCUAAUACAUGCAAGUCGAGCGAAGUUUUUCUGGUGCUUGCACUAGAAAAACUUAGCGGCGAACGGGUGAGUAACACGUAAAGAACCUGCCUCAUAGACUGGGACAACUAUUGGAAACGAUAGCUAAUACCGGAUAACAGUAUUUCUCGCAUGAGAGAUAUUUAAAAGUUGGUUAUGCUAACACUAUGAGAUGGCUUUGCGGUGCAUUAGCUAGUUGGUGGGGUAAAGGCCCACCAAGGCGACGAUGCAUAGCCGACCUGGGAGGGUGAUCGGCCACACUGGGACUGAGACACGGCCCAGACUCCUACGGGAGGCAGCAGUAGGGAAUCUUCCGCAAUGGGCGAAAGCCUGACGGAGCAACGCCGCGUGAGUGAAGAAGGAUUUCGGUUCGUAAAGCUCUGUUGUUAGGGAAGAAUGGAUAUGUAGUAACUAUACAUGUAAGAGACGGUACCUAACCAGAAAGCCACGGCUAACUACGUG
rnacentral:rRNA from 1 species